rnacentral:rRNA from 1 species
CAGUCGCCGCGGUAAUACGAAGGGUGCAAGCGUUAAUCGGAAUUACUGGGCGUAAAGCGUGCGUAGGCGGUUUGUUAAGUCUGUUGUGAAAUCCCCGGGCUCAACCUGGGAAUGGCAAUGGAUACUGGCAAGCUAGAGUGUGUCAGAGGAUGGUGGAAUUCCCGGUGUAGCGGUGAAAUGCGUAGAGACCGGGAGGAACAUCAGUGGCGAAGGCGGCCAUCUGGGACAACACUGACGCUGAGGCACGAAAGCGUGGGGAGCAAACAGGAUUAGAUACCCCCGUAGUCCCUGUCUCUUAUAC